rnacentral:pre_miRNA from 1 species
AGAACAUUGGGACCGUCGGUCUACCGAGAAAAAUCACCGGCUCGGUGGCAGGUCAUUCCUUCGUCGU